CCUUUAAGUUAACUGCCGAAGGUCGUUUCACCGGCCUUCAGUUUCAGUCUUGCGACCGUACUCCCCAGGCGGCUAGCUUAACGGCUUCCCUGCGACACUUCAUUCGCGACUUGCGAAUGAAUCAUCUAGCUAGCAUCGUUUACGGCUGGGACUACCCGGGUAUCUAAUCCGGUUCGCUCCCCCAGCUUUCAUCCCUCACCGUCGAGCGCGUUCUGGCGGACCGCCUUCGCCACUGGUGGUCUUCCGCGGAUCAAAGGAUUUUACCCCUACACGCGGAGUACCGUCCGCCUCUCCCGCCUCCUAGUCUCGCGGUAUCCUCUGCAUGUCAACCGUUGAGCGGUUGGAUUUAACAGAGGACCUACGGAACCGGCUACGGAUGCUUUAGGCCCAAUAAUCGCCCCGACCACUCGAGGAGCUGGUAUUACCGCGGCGGCUGACACCAGGC
rnacentral:rRNA from 1 species